AUUGCCUGCCCAGUGACUUCUAAGUUAAACGGCCGCGGUAUUCUGACCGUGCAAAGGUAGCAUAAUCAUUUGUUCCCCAAUUAGGGACUAGUAUGAAUGGCUAGACGAGGAUUCAACUGUCUCUUAUUCCCAAUCAGUGAAAUUGACCUUCCAGUGAAGAGGCUGGAAUAAAACAAUAAGACGAGAAGACCCUAUGGAGCUUUAAUUAACUAGCCUAAUUAUAAUAAUAAAACCCUAAUGGAACAAAAACAUAAACAUUAAGCUAACAAUUUUGGUUGGGGUGACCUCGGAGAACAAAAAAUCCUCCGAAUGAUUAUAGCACAGACAAACAAGUCAAAGCAAUCCACUAUAUCCAAUUGACCCAAAAACACUUUGACCAACGGACCAAGUUACCCUAGGGAUAACAGCGCAAUCCUAUUUAAGAGUCCAUAUCGACAAUUAGGGUUUACGACCUCGAUGUUGGAUCAGGACACCCCAAUGGUGCAGAAGCUAUUAAAGGUUCGUUUG
rnacentral:rRNA from 1 species